rnacentral:rRNA from 1 species
AAAUUGAAGAGUUUGAUCAUGGCUCAGAUUGAACGCUGGCGGCAGGCCUAACACAUGCAAGUCGAACGGUAACAGGAAGCAGCUUGCUGCUUCGCUGACGAGUGGCGGACGGGUGAGUAAUGUCUGGGAAACUGCCUGAUGGAGGGGGAUAACUACUGGAAACGGUAGCUAAUACCGCAUAACGUCGCAAGACCAAAGAGGGGGACCCUCGGGCCUCUUGCCAUCGGAUGUGCCCAGAUGGGAUUAGCUUGUUGGUGGGGUAACGGCUCACCAAGGCGACGAUCCCUAGCUGGUCUGAGAGGAUGACCAGCCACACUGGAACUGAGACACGGUCCAGACUCCUACGGGAGGCAGCAGUGGGGAAUAUUGCACAAUGGGCGCAAGCCUGAUGCAGCCAUGC